GCAAGUCGAACGCACUCUCGUUUAGAUUGAAGGAGCUUGCUCCUGAUUGAUAAACAUUUGAGUGAGUGGCGGACGGGUGAGUAACACGUGGGUAACCUGCCCUAAAGUGGGGGAUAACAUUUGGAAACAGAUGCUAAUACCGCAUAAAACCUAACACCGCAGGUGUAGGGUUGAAAGAUGGUUUCGGCUAUCACUUUAGGAUGGACCCGCGGUGCAUUAGUUAGUUGGUGAGGUAAAGGCUCACCAAGACCGUGAUGCAUAGCCGACCUGAGAGGGUAAUCGGCCACACUGGGACUGAGACACGGCCCAGACUCCUACGGGAGGCAGCAGUAGGGAAUCUUCCACAAUGGACGAAAGUCUGAUGGAGCAACGCCGCGUGAGUGAAGAAGGUUUUCGGAUCGUAAAACUCUGUUGUUGGAGAAGAAUGUAUCUGAUAGUAACUGAUCAGGUAGUGACGGUAUCCAACCAGAAAGCCACGGCUAACUACGUGCCAGCAGCCGCGGUAAUACGUAGGUGGCAAGCGUUGUCCGGAUUUAUUGGGCGUAAAGCGAGCGCAGGCGGUUUCUUAAGUCUGAUGUGAAAGCCUUCGGCUCAACCGAAGAAGUGCAUCGGAAACUGGGAAACUUGAGUGCAGAAGAGGACAGUGGAACUCCAUGUGUAGCGGUGAAAUGCGUAGAUAUAUGGAAGAACACCAGUGGCGAAGGCGGCUGUCUGGUCUGUAACUGACGCUGAGGCUCGAAAGCAUGGGUAGCAAACAGGAUUAGAUACCCUGGUAGUCCAUGCCGUAAACGAUGAGUGCUAGGUGUUGGAGGGUUUCCGCCCUUCAGUGCCGCAGCUAACGCAUUAAGCACUCCGCCUGGGGAGUACGACCGCAAGGUUGAAACUCAAAGGAAUUGACGGGGGCCCGCACAAGCGGUGGAGCAUGUGGUUUAAUUCGAAGCAACGCGAAGAACCUUACCAGGUCUUGACAUCCUUUGACCACUCUAGAGAUAGAGCUUUCCCUUCGGGGACAAAGUGACAGGUGGUGCAUGGUUGUCGUCAGCUCGUGUCGUGAGAUGUUGGGUUAAGUCCCGCAACGAGCGCAACCCUUAUUACUAGUUGCCAGCAUUUAGUUGGGCACUCUAGUGAGACUGCCGGUGACAAACCGGAGGAAGGUGGGGACGACGUCAAAUCAUCAUGCCCCUUAUGACCUGGGCUACACACGUGCUACAAUGGAUGGUACAACGAGUUGCGAGACCGCGAGGUUUAGCUAAUCUCUUAAAACCAUUCUCAGUUCGGAUUGUAGGCUGCAACUCGCCUACAUGAAGCCGGAAUCGCUAGUAAUCGCGGAUCAGCAUGCCGCGGUGAAUACGUUCCCGGGCCUU
rnacentral:rRNA from 2 species